CCUACGGGGGGCAGCAGUAGGGAAUAUUCGUCAAUGGGCGCAAGCCUGAACGAGCAAUGCCGCGUGAACGAGGAAGGCCUUCGGAUCGUAAAGUUCUUUUGAUGGGGAAGAAGAGCGGUGAGAGGAAAUGCUUUGUGAUUGAUAUUACCCUUCGAGGAAGUCACGGCUAACUACGUGCCAGCAGCCGCGGUAAUACGUAGGUGGCGAGCGUUAUCCGGAAUGAUUGGGCGUAAAGGGUGCGUAGGCGGCCUGUUAAGUCUGGGGUGAAAGGUACGGGCUAAACCGGUACAGGCACUUGAAACUGGCGGGCUAGAGUGCAGGAGAGGGCGGUGGAACUCCAUGUGUAGCGGUGAAAUGCGUAGAUAUAUGGAAGAACACCGAUGGCGAAGGCAGCCGCCUGGCCUUGUACUGACGCUGAGGCACGAAAGCGUGGGGAGCAAAUAGGAUUAGAUACCCCGGUAGUC
rnacentral:rRNA from 1 species